AAGAUCUAGUAUUUUGUUUUGAAAACAAAUAGAAAGGAAAUCCUUUAGUUUCUU
rnacentral:tRNA from 1 species